rnacentral:lncRNA from 1 species
UUUUUUUUUUUUUCUUUUUCAUACUGCUUGUUAACUUAAAGGAUAUGUAAAAUCAUUCCAGCGACUGUUAAAUAAUCCAUGACAAAGAAAUAGAUAUAUAUCCAGGACUUGUUUGAACACAGGACUGUGCAACUGCUCCUCUGCGGUGUCAUUAAAAUACAGGGGCACAAUCCCCCAAAGCCAGAUUUCUCAUGUUUUGAGAUAAAAAGUAUGAAGGAAAGAGUAAAAAGCCAUUCCUGAACCAAUAGUCCAAUCUUCUCUUUCUCUUCCAUUCUCAUGUCUACCAACAUAGUGCAAUGUAUACAGGGGAUAAAGCCACACUUUAAAUAUCACUAUUGUCUGAGAAGGUUUUAGCCUUCCUGAAGUCUCCUGCCUGAUGCUGUCUGUCUUGCUGCAAGAGACACACUGAGUAACAUCAAUCAAUUUACUGAAAACAGCUUUGACCUAGUGCCAGGCCAUUACAGAAUACCCUUGUGAUAAAUUCAAGUUUGGUAGUUGGUACAACACAAUCUGUAACUUUAGCCACACUUAACAAUUCUCUCCCUGAUCUGUACAAGGAGAAUGAAUGAAAACAUCAUAAUUUGACAAGGACAAAAGAUACAUAGGCAGUAUAAUGGCUCUCUCAGAGAUUCUGACCUGACAAGCCCUGAAAUGGAUAUUUUUAUGGCAUGACCCAUAUAAGAAAACCCAGGGGAUAAGUUUAGCAUAAGGGCCACAACCCAAAAAGCAAAGAUGUUUCAUAUAUAUAUAUACAUACACACACACACACACACACACACACACACACACACAUUUCCCCAUGUCCCCCUAGGUAACUAAUGAAGUUAGAGAUGUGUUGUGUUUGUUUCUGAAAGGAAUGAAAACUGAUCAUUUGGCUAGUCUAUUUUUUCCUGGAGAGAGAAGUUUAAGCAUUUUAUAGCCCAUUUUUUCCUACACAUGUUUUUAGUUCUCACUGGUAAGUUAUAAGCCCACUACACACUAGAUAUUUGCUUGCAGAGAUACUAAAUCUUUGUAUAUUAAAGGGAUAGGCUUUUCAAAAUAUGACUUAAUUAUUCUUUAAGAUACUCAGAGUCAAAAACUAAUAUUUACCAGUACUCUAAAAUUUGAUCUUCAACCACAGAUGGAAUUUAAUCCUUUAAAAGUCUUUGAAUACUGAUUGAGUUUUGUUGGGGACUUCAUUCACAGAAAACAAUUGUGAUUAGAAUCAAUUCACUUCACAAUUGCAUUUUACCCAAGUAACAUUUACCGAAAACACACAAAAAACAUUUAUAGGUUCUAUGGUUCCUUUCACAAACUUUGUGAUGAAGCUAUAUUCUGCUUUUUCAUAUGGGAUUGCUUUUCUGACUGAUUAAUAAAAACCGUAAGUGAAUGUUAUCAUUAAAUAGACAAAAUUUUUGUGAGGAAAUAUAUAUUGCUGUUACUGGAUUCUAUUUGUCUCCCUUUUAUUUUUAAACAAAUAAAAUCUUUAUAGUUUAGAAGCCUAAAUGUAUUAUGCAUUUAAUAUAACCAGGGAAGAUAAUUUUAUUUUUUAUUUGUUGCAAUUUGGUAUUAUUUUAAUUGAUCAUUACAAACAAAUUUUUCAGGUAAUAAUAAUUUUAAAUGAUUUUUGUAUCUGGCAAAUAAAAGCCAGAGCAGAAUACUGUAUAUAAGAGAUGUUAGGAAGAUUGUUUUUAUCCUAGAGCAUCAGAGUAAUACAUCCUAAUUUCAAAACACUAAAGAAAGAAAAAUAUUUAAGAAGACAUUUUACCUGUGGAUUAUAUUUUCUUAUCUCUUUAUUUUCUCAACUUGGUUUGGUAUUCUUAUAGUACUUUUAUAAAUUAAAGAUAUAUAUAUCUUUAUUAUAUCUAUAUAUAUAUAUCUAUAUCUAUCUAUCUAUCUAUAUAUAUAUAUAUAGAUAGAUAGAUAGAUAUCUUUAAUGUCUCAAUUGUGGGGAAAAAAACCAUAAUAGGAAGCAGCCCUAUCAAAACAAAGGCAAGAAGGGGUCAUUGUAUAGAGAUCUGCCACUUAAUUCUUCCUUCCUAAUCUUAGUAAUGUGAAUAAAUAAUAUAAGGGGCUCAUUUAGGACCAUUAACUUUUUAAAUAUUUCAUUUAUUUAUUUAUUCAUGAGAGAGAGAGAGAGAGAGAGAGAGAGAGAGAGAGAGGCAGAGAGAAAAGCAGACUCCAUGCAGGGAGCCCAACAUGGGAAUCCAUCUCUGGUCUCCAGGAUCACACCCUGGGCUAAAGGUGGCGCUAAACCACUGAGCCACCUGGGCUGCCCAGGACCAUU